UACAGAGGUCCCAAGCGUUGUCCGGAAUUAUUGGGCGUAAAGAGCUCGUAGGCGGUCUGUCGCGUCUGCUGUGAAAACUCGGGGCUUAACCCCGGGCCUGCAGUGGGUACGGGCAGACUAGAGUGCGGUAGGGGAGACUGGAAUUCCUGGUGUAGCGGUGAAAUGCGCAGAUAUCAGGAGGAACACCGGUGGCGAAGGCGGGUCUCUGGGCCGUAACUGACGCUGAGGAGCGAAAGCGUGGGGAGCGAACAGG
rnacentral:rRNA from 1 species